rnacentral:tRNA from 1 species
GCGGGUGUAGCUCAAUUGGCAGAGCUCCAGCCUUCCAAGCUGGAUGUUGGGAGGUCGAACCUCCUCACCCGCU